CCUACGGGAGGCAGCAGUGGGGAAUAUUGGACAAUGGGCGCAAGCCUGAUCCAGCCAUGCCGCGUGAGUGAAGAAGGCCUUAGGGUUGUAAAACUCUUUCGGCAGGGAAGAUAAUGACGGUACCUGCAGAAGAAGCUCCGGCUAACUCCGUGCCAGCAGCCGCGGUAAUACGGAGGGGGCAAGCGUUGCUCGGAAUUACUGGGCGUAAAGCGAGCGUAGGCGGUUAAUCAAGUUGGUGGUGAAAGCCCAGAGCUUAACUCUGGAACUGCCAUCAAAACUGAUUGACUAGAGAUUGGUAGAGGAAAAUGGAAUUCCUAGUGUAGAGGUGAAAUUCGUAGAUAUUGGGAAGAACACCAGUGGCGAAGGCGAUUUUCUGGGCCAAUUCUGACGCUGAGGUUCGAAAGCGUGGGUAGCAAACAGGAUUAGAUACCCUGGUAGUCCACGCCGUAAACGAUGAGUGCUAGACGCCGGGAACUAGUUUUCGGUGUCGUAGUUAACGCAUUAAGCACUCCGCCUGGGGAGUACGGUCGCAAGGGUGAAACUCAAAGGAAUUGACG
rnacentral:rRNA from 1 species